rnacentral:rRNA from 1 species
AACGAACGCUGGCGGCAUGCCUAACACAUGCAAGUCGAACGAGACCUUCGGGUCUAGUGGCGCACGGGUGCGUAACGCGUGGGAACCUGCCCUUAGGUUCGGAAUAACUCCCCGAAAGGGGUGCUAAUACCGGAUAAUGUCUUCGGACCAAAGAUUUAUCGCCUUUGGAUGGGCCCGCGUUGGAUUAGCUAGUUGGUAGGGUAAAAGCCUACCAAGGCGACGAUCCAUAGCUGGUCUGAGAGGAUGAUCAGCCACACUGGUACUGAGACACGGCCCAGACUCCUACGGGAGGGAGCAGUGGGGAAUAUUGGACAAUGGGCGAAAGCCUGAUCCAGCAAUGCCGCGUGAGUGAUGAAGGCCUUAGGGUUGUAAAGCUCUUUUACCCGGGAUGAUAAUGACAGUACCGGGAGAAUAAGCUCCGGCUAACUCCGUG